GACGAACGCUGGCGGCGUGCCUAACACAUGCAAGUGGAGCGACGAACCAGGCUUCGGCCUGGGGCUAAGCCGCGAACGGGUGAGUAACACGUGGGUAACCUGCCCCGAUGAUUGGGACAACCCGAGGAAACUCGGGCUAAUACCAAAUGUGUCCUCCGGCCAUAAGGCCGCUGGGGAAAGGAAGCUUCGGCCUCCGCAUCGGGAUGGGCCCGCGGCCCAUUAGCUUGUUGGUGAGGUAACGGCUCACCAAGGCGACGAUGGGUAGCUGGU
rnacentral:rRNA from 1 species